UACGUAGGGCGCAAGCGUAUCCGGAAUUAUUGGGCGUAAAGAGCUCGUAGGCGGUUUGUCGCGUCUGCCGUGAAAGUCCGGGGCUCAACUCCGGAUCUGCGGUGGGUACGGGCAGACUAGAGUGAUGUAGGGGAGACUGGAAUUCCUGGUGUAGCGGUGAAAUGCGCAGAUAUCAGGAGGAACACCGGUGGCGAAGGCGGGACUCUGGGCCGAUACUGACGCUGAGGAGCGAAAGCGUGGGGAGCAAACAGG
rnacentral:rRNA from 1 species